UACGAAGGGGGCUAGCGUUGCUCGGAAUUACUGGGCGUAAAGGGCGCGUAGGCGGCUUAGUUAGUCAGGCGUGAAAUUCCUGGGCUCAACCUGGGGACUGCGCUUGAUACGGCUAGGCUGGAGGAUGGAAGAGGGUCGCGGAAUUCCCAGUGUAGAGGUGAAAUUCGUAGAUAUUGGGAAGAACACCGGGUGGCGAAGGGCGGCGACCUGGUCCAUUACUGACGCUGAGGCGCGACAGCGUGGGGAGCAAACAGG
rnacentral:rRNA from 1 species